rnacentral:rRNA from 2 species
GCUAUAAUGCAGUCGAGCGGACAGAAGGGAGCUUGCUCCCGGAUGUUAGCGGCGGACGGGUGAGUAACACGUGGGUAACCUGCCUGUAAGACUGGGAUAACUCCGGGAAACCGGAGCUAAUACCGGAUAGUUCCUUGAACCGCAUGGUUCAAGGAUGAAAGACGGUUUCGGCUGUCACUUACAGAUGGACCCGCGGCGCAUUAGCUAGUUGGUGGGGUAAUGGCUCACCAAGGCGACGAUGCGUAGCCGACCUGAGAGGGUGAUCGGCCACACUGGGACUGAGACACGGCCCAGACUCCUACGGGAGGCAGCAGUAGGGAAUCUUCCGCAAUGGACGAAAGUCUGACGGAGCAACGCCGCGUGAGUGAUGAAGGUUUUCGGAUCGUAAAGCUCUGUUGUUAGGGAAGAACAAGUGCGAGAGUAACUGCUCGCACCUUGACGGUACCUAACCAGAAAGCCACGGCUAACUACGUGCCAGCAGCCGCGGUAAUACGUAGGUGGCAAGCGUUGUCCGGAAUUAUUGGGCGUAAAGGGCUCGCAGGCGGUUUCUUAAGUCUGAUGUGAAAGCCCCCGGCUCAACCGGGGAGGGUCAUUGGAAACUGGGAAACUUGAGUGCAGAAGAGGAGAGUGGAAUUCCACGUGUAGCGGUGAAAUGCGUAGAGAUGUGGAGGAACACCAGUGGCGAAGGCGACUCUCUGGUCUGUAACUGACGCUGAGGAGCGAAAGCGUGGGGAGCGAACAGGAUUAGAUACCCUGGUAGUCCACGCCGUAAACGAUGAGUGCUAAGUGUUAG